CUGAGAACCGCCAUAAGCGCUUGC
rnacentral:siRNA from 1 species